AAAUUGGUGAUUUAUAAUAACUUAGCAAAUCGCAAAGUGAAAACAGGCGAUAAAUCAUUCAAGUUUCUGACCUAUCAGCUUUCGACGGUAUGGUAUUGGCUUACCGUGGCAGUGACGGUUAACGGGGGAUUAGGGUUCGAUUCCGGAGAGGGAGCCUGAGAAACGGCUACCACAUCUAAGGAAGGCAGCAGGCGCGCAAAUUACCCAAUUCUAACAGUUUGAGAGAGGUAGUAACAAGAAAUAACAAUACAAGGCAGUUAAAAUGCUUUGUAAUUGGAAUGAUAGAAAUUUAAACCCUUUUUAAAGUAUCAAUUGGAGGGCAAGUCUGGUGCCAGCAGCCGCGGUAAUUCCAGCUCCAAUAGCGUAUAUUAAAAUUGUUGCAGUUAAAAAGCUCGUAGUUGAAGUUCUGCUGAAAGUAACCGGUCUGCUUUUAAUAAAAGUGGUAUCUUGGUAUGUAUUUAGCAAUGAUGUCCUUUGAAGUGUUUUUUACUUUAUUGUAAUAAAGCAUAUUCAGGACUUUUACUUUGAGAAAAUUAGAGUGGUUCUAGCAGGCUGACGCUUU
rnacentral:rRNA from 1 species